UUUUCGAAUUUGCCGCAAACACCCCAAAUUGUUCGCUGUUCGACUGGAUCAUAAAGCUCAUCCCUAGUGACUAUACUCAUAAUGAUGCAGAAGCAUCUCAAGUUAUCUGACUGUCCCCAGAUGUACUGAAACAUUAUAUAAAAAAAAACAUUGCACCACUGUAUCCAACAAAAUGUAAAAGAAAUGUGUUAGCAUUGUUCAAUUCCAACUCUUCCUAUAACACAUAUAGACAGUAAUAUUUCACUUUAGUUAGUGAAAACCCCAGAAUCCAUUAGGACAGUGUCAGUGACUAAUGCAGUAUUAUGAAUGUGAGAUCAACAGUGUAGCAAAGCCCUUUGUCAGAAAUUCUGUUUUACAUGUUUUACGGCUUUUGUUCAGUUUGAUCAAUGACAAAUGUCUCACUUCAUGUUAGUUUUCAAUACAUGUGUUGUAGCACUGAUAACAUUUUGUUUUAAUCUCAGUAAUCAGAAAGCACCUCUAAACAAUAGGAAUUUUGCAGGCCAUGCCAUUUAUUACACACCUCUUCAAUUAGCAUCACCCCUUGAAAAGGAGAGAUAUGCCAACCAGCUGUAUAAAUCACCAUUGGUGGCAAGGAGACUGGCAGGUGCAGAUGGCCAGCUAUGGUAUAUAUACCUGUGAUACACGAGGAGUCCCGAGAACUGCACAGAACUAUUAGUUACAUCAUCAAUGGAUUUUGUGAAAGCAGAAAGCACCCUGAACAAAGAAUAACGCAGAGCAAAAAAAAAAACUACAAGAUAUGAUUUAAAAUACAAAAUAACUACAACUGAUCUUCAAACUGCCACGUUGUUAACAUAAAAACCCUACCAGCACAAAUAAAGAACAAGCUUGAGUAAAUACUUUGCACCAAGCACAACGGGAUGCUGAUUAGAACUCUACAAAGGACACGAGAUGUACUAAGUUUCUUGCUCAUCAUUUAUACACUCCUGUUGGGAACUUUACUGUGUUCUGCUUUCCUGAUGAAUUUCUUGGUUUAUGAUGCAAAGGACUGAUUCAUGUACAUUCCUCAGAUUGUGUUUGCCAUCCUUAUAUACAUCUUUCCUUCUCUUGAUGAAGAGUACAUUGGUCAACUUUUUGCAGUUUUUGCACUUCCUAGAUGAGGAGGAAAGCAAACAAGAUGGAGUGGAUGGAAUGGACUAUGGAAAAUGGACAAUACUGCAACACUGAGUAUAUCUAGAAGGAUUUUUAAUGAUCGGUUGUUGAAUCAUUGAGUCGUGAUGUACCUUUGGGCCUUAUCCAUUUUAUCCCCAGUGCAUAAAUGAAUCCACCUUUCCCAUA